AGAGUUUGAUCCUGGCUCAGAUUGAACGCUGGCGGCAGGCCUAACACAUGCAAGUCGAGCGGUAGAGAGGUGCUUGCACCUCUUGAGAGCGGCGGACGGGUGAGUAAUACCUAGGAAUCUGCCUGAUAGUGGGGGACAACGUUCGGAAACGGACGCUAAUACCGCAUACGUCCUACGGGAGAAAGCAGGGGACCUUCGGGCCUUGCGCUAUCAGAUGAGCCUAGGUCGGAUUAGCUAGUUGGUGAGGUAAUGGCUCACCAAGGCUACGAUCCGUAACUGGUCUGAGAGGAUGAUCAGUCACACUGGAACUGAGACACGGUCCAGACUCCUACGGGAGGCAGCAGUGGGGAAUAUUGGACAAUGGGCGAAAGCCUGAUCCAGCCAUGCCGCGUGUGUGAAGAAGGUCUUCGGAUUGUAAAGCACUUUAAGUUGGGAGGAAGGGCAGUUACCUAAUACGUGAUUGUCUUGACGUUACCGACAGAAUAAGCACCGGCUAACUCUGUGCCAGCAGCCGCGGUAAUACAGAGGGUGCAAGCGUUAAUCGGAAUUACUGGGCGUAAAGCGCGCGUAGGUGGUUUGUUAAGUUGAAUGUGAAAUCCCCGGGCUCAACCUGGGAACUGCAUCCAAAACUGGCAAGCUAGAGUAUGGUAGAGGGUAGUGGAAUUUCCUGUGUAGCGGUGAAAUGCGUAGAUAUAGGAAGGAACACCAGUGGCGAAGGCGACUACCUGGACUGAUACUGACACUGAGGUGCGAAAGCGUGGGGAGCAAACAGGAUUAGAUACCCUGGUAGUCCACGCCGUAAACGAUGUCAACUAGCCCUUUGGGAGUCUUGAACUCUUAGUGGCGCAGCUAACGCA
rnacentral:rRNA from 1 species